rnacentral:rRNA from 1 species
GACGAACGCUGGCGGCGUGCUUAACACAUGCAAGUCGAACGGAAAGGCCCUGCUUUUGUGGGGUGCUCGAGUGGCGAACGGGUUAGUAACACGUGAGUAACCUGCCCUUGACUUUGGGAUAACUUCAGGAAACUGGGGCUAAUACCGGAUAGGAGCUCCUGCUGCAUGGUGGGGGUUGGAAAGUUUCGGCGGUUGGGGAUGGACUCGCGGCUUAUCAGCUUGUUGGUGGGGUAGUGGCUUACCAAGGCUUUGACGGGUGGCCGGCCUGAGAGGGUGACCGGCCACAUUGGGACUGAGAUACGGCCCAGACUCCUACGGGAGGCAGCAGUGGGGAAUAUUGCACAAUGGGCGGAAGCCUGAUGCAGCAACGCCGCGUGCGGGAUGACGGCCUUCGGGUUGUAAACCGCUUUCGCCUGUGACGAAGCGUGAGUGACGGUAAUGGGUAAAGAAGCACCGGCUAACUACGUG